rnacentral:rRNA from 1 species
AUGAAAAGAGGUGGAGGUCGGCUGCGCGUGUACGGGCUGGCUAGAAAAAUCAAGGCCGGCUCCUCAUCGAAAAAAGAAAAAAGAAAGAAGGGUCCGGUUUUCGCGUGGAGUCGGACAAAAAGAGAGAAGAGAAAUAGGGCCGGCUGUCCAAAGCAACGGCCGACUGCAUGUCGCCGGCUUGUUGAAAAAGAAAGAGCAGCUCAUACGUCCGCCUACUAUAAGAGAAGAAAAGAGAAAACGUCCGUCUGUCCGUCCGCCUGCUUCGCCACUCGGACGGCUAGACGCGACCUGGCCUGCUUGCCUGCUUCAACACCUGGCCGGCAAGAGCGCCGGCACUGCUGCCUGUUCGCCUCGACGCCUGGCCGAUCGAGCCUAGGCUUGAAUCUUGGGGGCUACACCCAGCGGGUGCGCUGA